AUUGAACGCUGGCGGCAUGCCUUACACAUGCAAGUCGAACGGUAACGCGGGGCAACCUGGCGACGAGUGGCGAACGGGUGAGUAAUGCAUCGGAACGUGCCCAGUAGUGGGGGAUAGCCCGGCGAAAGCCGGAUUAAUACCGCAUACGACCUAAGGGUGAAAGCGGGGGAUCGCAAGACCUCGCGCUAUUGGAGCGGCCGGUGUCAGAUUAGGUAGUUGGUGGGGUAAAGGCCUACCAAGCCUUCGAUCUGUGGCUGGUGUGAGAGGACGACCAGCCACACUGGGACUGAGACACGGCCCAGACUCCUACGGGAGGCAGCAGUGGGGAAUUUUGGACAAUGGGCGAAAGCCUGAUACAGCCAUGCCGCGGGCGGGAAAAAGGCCUUCGGGUUGUAAACCGCUUUUGUCAGGGAAGAAACGCUCUGGGUUAAUACCCCGGGGUAAUGCCGUUACCUGAAGAAUAAGCACCGGCUAACUACGUGCCAGCAGCCGCGGUAACAC
rnacentral:rRNA from 1 species